rnacentral:rRNA from 1 species
CACGUAGGGCGCAAGCGUUGUCCGGAAUUAUUGGGCGUAAAGAGCUCGUAGGCGGGUCUGUUGCGUCCGCUGUGAAAACUCGGGGCUUAACCCCGAGCCUGCAGUGGAUACGGGCAGACUAGAGGUAGGUAGGGGAGGAUGGAAUUCCCGGUGUAGCGGUGAAAUGCGCAGAUAUCGGGAGGAACACCGGUGGCGAAGGCGGUUCUCUGGGCCUUACCUGACGCUGAGGAGCGAAAGCGUGGGGAGCGAACAGG